rnacentral:rRNA from 1 species
CUGGUGUGAUGGGUUCUUACCUUCUGAAUAACCAGCAUGCCAUUCAUUUGGUGCGUUGGGGAAGCAGGACUAUUACCUUGAAAAAAUUAGAGUGCUCAAAGCAGGCUAGUGCCUGAAUACAUUAGCAUGGAAUAAUAAGAUAGGACGGCAUGGUUCUAUUUUGUUGGUUUCUAGGAUCACCGUAAUGAUUAAUAGGGAUAGUUGGGA